UUAAUUGUUGAUUGAUAUUGGCUGACAGCAGGAUCUUUCUUCUCCAAUGCAAUGAACUUCGUCGAGGUUGACAGGAGUUUUGGUUGGUGUAGAACGUUUGGUUCAUCAAGAAGAUUGAAGUGCUAUAACGUUGAGGAAAAUAAGGCUUAUGGAUAAGGAUCUAAGGCCCUUUGCAAAUCAAUUGGACUUUUGCUAAGCGUAGCAUUUGUAAUGGUGCCAACAUUGUAGAGGACGUGAUAUAGUUUUCUUUUCAAAAUGAAAAAAUUGUCGAGGAGGCUUCUAGCCACGACUGAAAUUCUAUAUUUUGUGGUGCUUUUGUGGAAUGAACUCGCGAACGGUCCCUCCUUUUUCUCCUGCUCAUAUUUUUGAAGCCCAUGAUUUAUUUAUUUUUCCUUUGGCUUUUAUCUGUUAAGGUUUUGUUCUCCUUAAUCAACUGAUUGUUUUGUUUCCAUUUCUUACAAUUAUUUUGUUUCCAUCUCCUAUUACCGUAUUUUCGUGGAUCUAUCAAAUGGGUUUGCAGUUUUUUUUUUUUUUUGUAUUUGUUUAUUAUAUUGAUGGUUGAUUUGCUUUGUUGCUUUUGUUAUUAAGGUUUUGUUUUCUUUCAUGAGAUGAUUGUUGUUAAGGUUUUCUUUAGCUUUUACUGUUAAAGUUUGCUUUGGCUUUUGUUAUUAAGGUUUUGUUUUCUAUCUUGAUGUUUCUAUUUGUUUUGUAUCUUGAAUAUGUUUUUGUAAUCCAAAAAAGCCUUUCCAUGUGAAUGUGUAUCUAAUGUUUUUCCUUUCUUUGUCCUUAUGAAACCUUAGAGAGCAUAAUCCUUGAUCUGUGUGUUUGGAGUUGCUGAAGGUUUACUUCUUUGUGGCACAAAUAGAGGGGAAGGUUCAGCAAGGUGAUGGAGACAUUCAAUUACUUUGGCAUUGAGCUCAUGGAUACUAAUCUCACUACUACAGAAGGAGCAUUUAUGGUUACAGGAAGAAGAGGAGAUCCCUCCAUGAACAAAUUGCUUUUUUCUGCACAAAGGAACUACAGCUAUUGAAUAGAAAUGCAAACUGGAGAGACAAUUCUCUGAACUAAGAAUGGCAAUUGAUGAGGAGCAAAAUGAAGUUAUCUCUUUGUGCGUCUAAUGAUUUGGCUUGACAAAAAGGUUAUCUUGAAGAAAAUUUAAAACUCGCUAAUGAUUUGAAAGUAAGUAUAGUUUCAUGAUGAUAUCAGUAUUUUAUUAUUCUCUUUUCAUUUUUUUUAUUGUUUUGUUGCUACUUUUAUAGCUAUUUUUUAUUGGUAGACAUGGUUAUUGACGUUAAUUAAUGACUUUCGUUUUUUAUUUGAAUUCAUUUUAGAAUGGACCCAAACUUAAUUUUUUCCCAUAUAGGGACUUGCUGUUAUAACUUCAUAUGAUGAUUGCAGGUAUAGAUGACUAUUAAUAUUAAUGACUGAAAUGAUACACAUUCAUCAUUGUGGUUGUAAUUGUUUUGUUGCUGCUCUUGAUAAUAUUGUAACCUUACUUUCCAAAUAAAACCAAGUGUUACGGUUGAAAGUUGUUGCAUACCACUUUGUUCAAAUUUUCGUACUCUCAAACUUUCUUCUCUUGGUUUAGAAAUCCUUUGUGCUAUAAUGGUCGUGAUAUCUUUAAUCUAUAUUUGGAAUUGUGAUUAUGAAAUUUAUUUGUAGGACGGGGUUGGUGGAGAACAAUCAAUACAAUAUCUGGUAAAAUUGGAAGUGAUUUCUUUGUCAGGAUUUCUUAAUUAGCUUCUAACAUUUUCAUAAGGUGUUAUUUUAUUUCACUUGACCGAUAUUGCAGCAGUCAUGUAAAUGGAUUAUCAACAUGUAUUAUGAAUAUUGGUGCUCACAUG